UCCUGGCCGGCGUGGGUCUCUGGGGAUGUGGAAAGCAUGGGGGCGGAGGGGGGGGGGAAAGACUGCCAUUCGGCGUGGGGACUGUGGAGGCCAGGGGAAGGCUAGAAUUCCCACCACAGCUUGAAUUAGACGUACUAACCAAGUGACAGAACACCCACGCUUGUUUACUCAGCCCCAAACUGGGGGGCUGUUGCUAUGGAAAACGCCACGCUGGAGCUCUAGAACACCUCCCUAACAGUAAACUGAAAACUCCAUUGUCAUCCCGAGGUCACUGCAGAGAGAGCGGUGCCGGCAUGGACGCAUGGGAACAGGGAGGCUGUCAAAUCAUAUGACAUUCCCAUGGAGCACCCCCUGCUCAUCUGCCUUGUGCAAAUGUUAGGCCUUGAGGAAUGACUGCAGGUUAUGGGAUCUUAACUCCCUGGUGACUCCCUCUCCAGCUGUUGUUGCAGAUGUGAAAGCUUUCUGUGGUAAAUCAACAGGGCUUGUGGCACUUGGAGUGGAUCUGAGAACCUGAAAAUGGACCCUUCUCUUUAUCAGUUAAUUGGACUUCCAGAAAUAGCUUGCUUUAAUCUGACGGGGACAUCUGUAUACCUGUGCCCUUUUCCCUCAGGGCCACAUGAACUUCAAGCCCUAUUAUGAUCAAUCCAUAAGGAUUUUCAUUAUUUUGUUGUCCCACAGGAAACAUCAUGCUGACUGGACUUGGUAAUACAGUCACACAGACACACACACCCCAGAUGGCACAGUAAGGCCUGCCUGUGUCACAGGCUAAAGGGUCUCUCACUGAAGCUGGAGGUCACUGUUUGGGGACCCCUAGAGGCCAUCUGCCUGCCUGCCCCAGUGUGAGAGUUACAGGACUUUGGGUUCUGUCUUUCAUCCUAGUCUCAGGUCACGCCCCUCCUAACACUUCCUAUAGAGGUCUACAGGUAAGGAGAGUUCAUUUAGCUUUUGCUUAUCUUGAAAUGCUUCGUUUCUCCCUUACCACAGAAAGACGGUUUGUGUGUGUGUGUGUGUGUGUGUGUGUGUGUACACCUGUGAAUACAGGAUCUACGGGGGCCAGACAGCACUGAAUUCCCUGUAGCUGGAGUCCAGCAGGCCAUUGAAAGCUCCUGGGUGUGGCUGCUAGGAAUAGAGACUGGGUCCUCUCAAGGGUAGCAUUCCUCUAGCAUCCUGAAGGGCAGCUUUGCAGGACAAGGGACUCCUGGUAGGCAGGUUUUUCUUUUAGCACUCUGAAUAUGUCAGACUUCUGCCUUCUAGCUGCCAAAGUCAAGAAUCAUCUGAUGCUCUUACUAAGACUCCGUCAUGUGAAGGGUCAUUUCCCUGGUACCGGUUUCAAACUUCUCUUUAUCUUUGACAUGAAUUAUAGUGUGUGUAUCAAGUUCACUGGGCUUCACGGAUGCUUAUAUUCAUAUAAAGCUUAGGAACUUAUUAUAGGGUCAUUAUUUCUUCAAAUAAUAUCUCUCUCUCCCUCCCUGCCUGCCUUGUUCCUCCCGCCUCUCCUUUCCUCCUCCCUCCCUCCCUCCCUCCCUCUCUCCCUCCCUCCCUUCUUUCCUCUCCUCUUCCCUCUCCUAGCUUGCCCCUCUUCCUCUUCCAGAGCUUCCAUAGAACACAGAUUGAUUUGCUUGACAGUAUCUUCAGGUCCCUCUGACGUGAUAAGCCUGCCUGUGGACUCCUCUGAUCACCUUUUCACUUCAAUACUUGGUACAGUUUUUGUUUCUUCUCAGGCUCUCACUCUUUGAUACUCAUAUUUUGCUUGUACAUCAUUUUCCUGACUUUCCCCUUGUCUUCUUGGCUCUUUUGGCAUCUUUACCAUCGUUGAAAUUUCUCUCUAGGAGAUCUUCCUUUAGAUUUUCCUGAGAGAUCCAAACAGCUUCAAGGCUGCUGGCUGAGAUGGUCUAGCCUCACAGACUAUUCUAAUCAGGACUUGACUUAACCAUUACCUAAUUUUCUCAGGGUCCCCCAAAGAUACCAAUGCUCCCAAACAACAGAAAGCAGUCUAGAAAACACAAUUUCUAUAUUCCUGAGAGGUGGGGUGUAUGGUUUUUGAAUAUUUGGUGGGUAAUGAAUGUUUAUCAUUGUUUAAGGGGGUUGGUUACAAAUUGUUAUUGGUCAUGGUUAAAAAACUAAACAAAGGACAUUAGAUUCAGGGAUCUCUUUUUGAAGAAAAAAGGGAGCUAUAGUAUAAAAAUGAUGAGAUAAAAGGGUGGAUUGUAGAGUCUACUUUUGAAUGACCAGUAGUCUCAAAUACUUUACAUUGGUAUGGAUUUUUGUACAGUAAUACAAAUUUAAGGUUAUUUUUAUUAGAACAUACAAUACUUACAACAUUUCUCCUCUUAUUUAAGGCAUUGCACCAAUGCAGCUCAUUUAACAAUGCAAUGUAAAUUUUUAGUUUUUGAAACUUAUUAAAAACUACUUAGGAUAAUAAAGAAAUACAGGUUAGUAGUUAGUCACCUAUAACAAUCAAACUUUUAGCUAGGCAGUAGUGGUGCACUCCUUUAGUCCCAGCACUCGGGAGGCAGAGGCAGGUGGAUCUCUGUGAGUUUGAGGCCAGCCUGGUCUGCAAAAGCUAUUUCCAGGACAGGCUCCAAAGCUAUACAGAGAAACCCUGUCUCAAAAAACCAAAAGAAUGAAACAAAACAAAAACAAAAAACAAAAAGCAAAAAUACUUUUAGUCAUGUAUGUUUUCAAGAUCAAACAUAUAUUUUAAAUAGAUAGAUGGUCUUCAAACACUUCAAAGACCUACAGAAUAUGACAUUUAAAACUUUUUGUUAACAUAGGACUUUUCAUAACAGUGAGACGCAUCUGCUCCUGGCAGCAUCAAUUGCCUUCAGAGAUGAUGGGCAUUGAAGAAACUCCAUAUGGAGUCUGCUUUCAAUGUGGCAAAACUGGCCAUUUGGGCAAGAAACUUAACUGCUGACAGUAUGCUGUACAAACUGGACAACAGGACACAAAGGAGAAAGACUGUUUAACUUUCCUACAGUAAGGCAGGAAAGUCCUUUAAAAAUUCCUGCUUCAUAGAAGAGUCUGCCAGAUAUUCCAGGUUUGUACUCCUAAGGUUGGAUGCCCCAGCAUUGCAGAAGAACCUUGAGUGACUGUCCAGGUGUCUCAUUUCUAUAGGUUUGGAAAUGGCUUUCACUAUAAUCACUGUUUACUCAGGUAAUAUUAUUUCUUCUGGGGUCUUUGAUAGAGUUGAAGACGAGGUAGCCAUAGUUGCAAUUUUCCUUAGUUAUGACAGAAGGUAAAUUAGGUACAGAGCUUUGGACUCAUCAAGAUAGAAUAAAUAAUGGAGCAUUUUCUCCAGAUAUGCCAAAUACAAAUGGGCUGGACAUUGUAAAUGCAAUUCUUACCUGAUAAUGUUCUUUUUAUUUAUAGUUUUAUUAUGUUACCCAUUCCUUUUUACUUAGACAAGAAGGGAGGAAAGCUGUGGAAUAGUCCUUUACACUGUGUGAAGUUAUGUCACUGUGAUUAGCUUAAUCAAAAAGCUAAAUAGUCCAUAGCUAGACAGGAGCUUGGGGGCAGAGAGGACCCUGGGAAGAAGGCAGAGUCACCAGUCAGGCAUGACAACACCAGGAAGGGUACAAUAGAAAUGAGGUAAUGAGCACAUGGAAGAAUGUAGAUUAAAAAUAGGGCUAAUUUAAGUUAUAAGAGCUAGUUAGGAACAAGCCUAGGCUAAGGUCGAGCUUUCAUGAUUAGUAAUAAAUCUCCAUGCCAUUUUUGUGAGCUGGCAGCCCAAAGAAGAAUCUGCCUACAAAGAUGACUGCAGCAAUUGUGACUAUUUUGUUACAUUUUCUUCUUGUUUUAUAGACACAUGAGUGUGUGCAUGUGCACUGCAGAUAUAAGCCGCUAGGUGAUCACUGACUUCAUAACUUAGUUUUUGGUUAUAAAACAUCCACAAGUGGUUUUUUUUUUUCUGAGACAGUCUCACUGUGUACCCCAGGCUGACCUCAAAUUCACAGUGUAGCUCAGGCUAGCACUGAACUCUCAUCCUCCGCCUUUCUCUUCCAAGCGAUUACAGGCAAUGCUACCAUGCCUGGCUCCUACAUUUCUAUGGAAGUAGUCGUUCAGAGAUAGAUACAGAAGCUGAUGGAACUACAUGUCAGCAUGUUGUGGAGUAGGGAGAGUGUCUUCAAAUGUCAGUUUCAUGAAGCCUAUGGUGGUUGUUACUGUUGUGUGGGAAUGAAAUAUAGAGAGGAGAGAGACACUAGGGCUCCAAGGGUGGAUGUGCCAGUCAUCUGGCUCCAUGCCCUCAGCCUUCACCCCUUCCCUCUGUGCUCAGCUCUGCAUGGCAGACUUAACUAUGCAUGCCAAACUGACUUUUUAACCUGGCUUCUAGCGCAGUGCUAUCAAUUGAAGGGACGGGUAAGACUCUGCCAACCCAGGAAAGUGGGGGCAAAUCUUCCGCCCGGCUUCAUACAGCAGCAGCGUGGGAACAGAGACGGUGGUGAGUGUCCAGGCAGCAGGGCUAGAAUGAGCAGCGGCCUCUCUACAAGUCCAGGUGCAGACUCCCGGCUCCCAGCAGCUGAGUGUCAGCCCUCCUUCCUUUGUUCUUCCACAUCCCUCUUCUCCAUUUGCCCCAGAAGUGUCCUAAGAUUUAUAUAAUGGAUUCUCUCUACUUAUCAUUGGUGAGGCUGGAGGUGGAAUAAAGGCUUGCUGGUUCUGAGUUUUAAAAGAGCCCUUAUCUCUAGGAGCACAUAUUGAAUAUUUAUAGAUGACACAUGAAUCUUCUGAUUCAUUUGUGAGCAGAGUUAUUUAUAGCUGGGUACAUUUUUCUUAAGAAUAAUCUACAAUAGGGCAUGAGGGGGGUAUAGCUGUAACAGACUGGCCAUGACCUCACAAUUGUCUGGUGCUAACUACUGGGUGGCAGGGGCAUGGGAACCCAUCUUACCACUUACUCUCCUUCCGUUACGUAGUUUGUCCUCUGUGGUGACAAACACCCACGAAAAGCAACUUAUCUAUGUUUUUUUAUGUUUGAGUUUUGUCGACACUUAUGUCUGUACCCCAGAAGAUGGUAUCAGAUAGUUGUGAGACACCAUCUGAGGGCUGGGAGUUGAACUCAGGUCCUCUGUGAGAGAAGCCAGUGCUCUUACCCACUGAGCCAUCGCUCCACGGAAAAGCAACUUACAGGGAAGAACCAUUUCUUUUAGCUACUGGCUUCAGUUGGGAUCCUUUACUCUCUUGAGUCUGAGCUUGAGAUGGACUCAUGCGACUGGAGUCUAUGGCAGAGGUUACCAAUCUCAGGGAGAGACAAGGAUGGGAGGGGGUACAAGAUCCCCCACGGACCUUCCCAGGAAAUGACUUCCUGUAGCCAGGCCUCCCUUCCUAAACUUCCUGUCCCUCCCACAACAGCCCUAUCGCGUAUAAAUCAUUUGAGGGCAUAUUACAAAGUCAAACCAUAGCUUUCCUUUUAGAUAUUUCUGAAAUUUUCCACAGUAAAAAUACCAAUGGUGAUCUCUCUGUACUCAGAGCAAGCAAAUUCUCAAUUGCAAUACUUUUUUGUGAGUCUGACUGAGACACGUCCUAUCAUGGAGAAAGCCCAGCUUCAAAUGUAGUCAGCACAAAGGCAAGCAAAACUGUGUGCAAGCCAUAGACACCCUAAGAGAAGUUCCUCGUGACACCAGAACCCAGCACACAAAUCCAGCAGAUUCAUUUGAAGGCCUUUUCAGAUUUAUAACCCCCUUCCCUUUCCUUCUUAAAAAUAUAUAUUUUUAAUAUGUAUAGGUGCUUCAUGUAUGUCUGCCCACCAUGUGUAUGCAGUGCCCAAGGAGGCCAGAAGAGGGCACUGACCUAUGGAACUGGAGUUACAGAUGAUUGUUAGCUGCUACGUGGGUGUUGAGAACUAAGCCAGGUCCUUGAUGCAAGAGAAACAAGGAGCCCUUGCAAAUCACAGAGACGAGAACAAACGACCGGUCCAGAGAUUUCCUUCUCUCAUCUCUAUUCUGCAUCCUAAAAUGAGUCUGUUUUCUUCUGUCGAUAAAUUCUUUUGACUAAUACGGGGUCUGGAGGAUAAAUAACCCUCAUCAGAUGCAAUCAGACUGUAAAGGGGGGGGCACAUACAAGAUCAGUCAUGAUGAACAUUAGAUCCCGGGCUAGCUGUUCAGAGCCAAAGCUGUGACCACAUUCCUCUGGGUGGCCGCUGGCACUUGUGGCGUGUUUGGGGUAUGUGGGAGGAGGAAGACACGAUCCAUGGCACUAUAUGCAGUUCUCAGGAGAUCAGUGACUGUUCUCUGAAAAGGUCAAACAACAGUGGAAGUCCAUAGGGGCAGCUGGGCCUGGCGGCCAGAGAAAUGACUCCUUGGAUCUCUACUGUCGAGGAUGCACCUCCCACUGUCAGCACCAAAAUAUCAUACAGAACGAGGCUCUAACAUAGCUCCAAACUGCAUCAGUUACUUCUUAUUUUGGAUUUUAUUGGACUUUGACAGUUUGCCUACUGAAUAAGUCCCAAGUCAGAGCAAACUUCAGUGUCAUCUUCAGUGUGACUAGAACCAUGGGAAAGUCAGCCCUACAUCAAGCACUAGACGCUUUCAGAAUGUGAGGACACAGCGUACGUCUGGGGAAGAUGCCCAUUCCAACAUGCUAAAUUUUUCCAAACUGUGGCGUAGAAAGGCCGUCAACUCCUUGACAUGUUGACAUGUUCCCUUCUACAGAGGAGACAAGUGAGGCACACGUGAAGCAGAUUUAAGCUAGCAAAGCUUACAACACGUAGACAUGCUGCUAAGGCGUGGGUGGAAAGGCUCUCCUUUUAGGCCUGCACAAAGGGAGGGGUGCAUUGCUCAGGGAGAGACUGAGCCUGGCCAGGUGGCUGAGCCCCCCUUCUGGCACUGUUCUCCAGUCCAUGUGGGACUCUCAAGUAGUGACACAAACUUCAUUCCCUUGUUUAAAAAAAAAAAAGUGGCCCUCUAGUCUAUCCAAGUCACAGGAGGUGAUAAAGUAUGAAGAGAUGCAGACCAGAUUUCCUAUUCCAAGGUCCUGAGAACAAGCAUGGAUGUGCAUGCACACAGAACGUACUGUUUAGUCCAUCCUCACCUCUAGGUCUAGGGAAUAGAUGUACAGCCUGUAUUACCCCAGUCCACUGGGACCACCCUAGCUUACAAGUCAGGUGUGUUUUGGUAGUGGUCCAUAAUGUCUCUUCAUCUUACUGCAGCUGGCUCUUAAUCUCUACAGCUCUUCAGACACCUAAGGAGAUACAUCUGCUAUGAAGCUCCUCCUCCUAUGAUACUCCAUUGACACUCACUUUUCUAUAGACUCUCCUGCACGUGAAUAACCCUAGGCACUUAUAUCCCAGAAUCAUACAUGUUGGCUAUAGUUACCUAUCUACCACAAGUACCACUAUUACCACCAUCAUCACCACCAUCACCAUCAUCACCUGUUGGGAGCAGUGAGACCCAAGAUCCUGAAUUUCUUGUAAACAACUUGUUUUCCCCUGAUCUGAGUGCCUACAGCUGCUCUGAGCACGAGACCUUCAGGAGUUCCUGAUGGCAGGAGAGUGGUUUCUGGUGGGUUUGGCUGGGGCGUGGCUAUCUCUAUAUAAUCUGCCCCUGAACACAAUAAAGAGGGCAUUCUUGGGGAAUUCAAGGAUGACCCGUAUCACUGUCUCUCUGUCUGUGUGUGUCUGUGUAUUUUAACCUCCAGCCCCUUGCCUGAAGCUUGGUAACUGGGUGCCAGCGCACAGAGCGCAGAUAUGGGGGCACGGUGCGCGGCAAUCACAAUCACCACCAUUAUCACCAUCAUCAUUAUCACCGUCAUCAUCAUCACCACCAUCAUC